rnacentral:rRNA from 1 species
CCUACGGGUGGCUGCAGUGGGGAUAUUGCACAAUGGGGGGAACCCUGAUGCAGCGACGCCGCGUGGGUGAAGGAGCGUUUCGGCGCGUAAAGCCCUAUCGGCAGGGAAGAAGGAGGACGGUACCUGACUAAGAAGCCCCGGCUAACUACGUGCCAGCAGCCGCGGUAAUACGUAGGGGGCAAGCGUUAUCCGGAUUUACUGGGUGUAAAGGGGGCGCAGACGGCAGCGCAAGCCAGGAGUGAAAGCCCGGGGCCCAACGCCGGGACUGCUUUUGGAACUGCGCGGCUGGAGUGCAGGCGGGGCAGGCGGAAUUGCUGGUGUAGCGGUGAAAUGCGUAGAUAUUAGGAGGAAAACCAGUGGCGAAGGCGGCUUACUGGACUGUAACUGACGUUGAGGCUCGAAAGCGUGGGGAGCAAACAGGAUGAGAUACCCCAGUAGUC